AUGGGUUCUUCUAAGGCCGCAGAAAAACAAGAAGAAUCGUUUGCACCGGUGGACGCCGCCGUUAGCCCGCACGCUGACAUACCGGGGAUCAUGUCGUCGCUGCCCGUAGAGCUUGGUUUCCCGCCCUACGCAAUGCGGUGGUACCGCGGCUUCUGGCUGACGGAGCGGUGCCUCAAGGCCCUCGCCCCGUCCCACGCGCGCUUCAGGCCGCGUCCCACCGACGUGCUCAUCACCAGCUUCCCCAAGUCCGGCACCACCUGGCUCAAGGCCCUCGCCUUCUCCGUUCUCAACCGCGAGGCCUACCCGCCGAGGUCCGCAGGCGCCGACCACCCGCUCCACCGGGGCAGCCCCCACGACCUGGUCGGCUUCAUCGAGCACAGCCCCGACCUCCUCGUCACCGGAGAAGAGGAGCUGUACCAGCAUCUCGCUUCUCCCCGGCUACUCGCCAGCCACCUCCCCUACUCCCUCCUGCCCCGCGGUAUCACGGCGGAUGGCUCAGAAUGCAAGGUCGUGUACGUGUGCCGGGACCCCAAGGACACGCUGGUCUCCUUCUGGCACUUCCACGAGAAGACCCGAGCGGCGCUGCAGCAGGUGCCUGGCAUCGGCGGCGGCGCGUCGUUCCUCGCCACACCGACGUUCGAGGAGGCGUUCGAGCUCUUCUGCCAGGGUAAGACCGUGGCGGGUCCGCAGUGGAACCACGCGCUCGAGUACUGGGAGGCGAGCCGCCGGAGACCCGACCAAGUGCUGUUCCUCAGCUACGAGGACAUGCUGCGCGACACGCCGGGGAACUUGCGGAGGCUGGCGGCGUUCGUUGGGUGGGUGCGCCUUCUCGCCAGAGGAGGAGACGGCUGGGGUGGUGCGCGACAUCGUGGAGCUCUGCAGCUUGGGGACGCUCAAGGGGCUUGA
rnacentral:rRNA from 1 species